rnacentral:rRNA from 1 species
GAUGAACGCUGGCGGCGUGCCUAAUACAUGCAAGUCGAGCGAACAGACGAAGAGCUUGCUCCUCUGACGUUAGCGGCGGACGGGUGAGUAACACGUGGAUAACCUACCUAUAAGACUGGGAUAACUUCGGGAAACCGGAGCUAAUACCGGAUAACAUGUUGAACCGCAUGGUUCAACAGUGAAAGACGGUUUUGCUGUCACUUAUAGAUGGAUCCGCGUCGCAUUAGCUAGUUGGUAAGGUAACGGCUUACCAAGGCAACGAUGCGUAGCCGACCUGAGAGGGUGAUCGGCCACACUGGAACUGAGACACGGUCCAGACUCCUACGGGAGGCAGCAGUAGGGAAUCUUCCGCAAUGGGCGAAAGCCUGACGGAGCAACGCCGCGUGAGUGAAGAAGGUCUUCGGAUCGUAAAACUCUGUUAUUAGGGAAGAACAAAUGUGUAAGUAACUAUUCACGUCUUGACGGUACCUAAUCAGAAAGCCACGGCUAACUACGUG